rnacentral:misc_RNA from 1 species
GAUGAAGAACGCAGCGAAAUGCGAUAAGUAAUGUGAAUUGCAGAAUUCAGUGAAUCAUCGAAUCUUUGAACGCACCUUGCGCCCUUUGGCUAUUCCGAAGGGCAUGCCUGUUUGAGUAUCAUGAACACCUCAACUCUCAUGGUUCGCCAUGAUGAGCUUGGACUCUGGGGGUCUUGCUGGCCUAUGGUCAGCUCCUCUCAAAUAAAUCAGCUUGCCAGUGUUUGGUGGCAUCACAGGUGUGAUAACUAUCUACGCUUGUGGUUUUCCAUCAGGUAACCUUCAGUGAUGGAGGUUCGCUGGAGCUCAUAAAUGUCCCUCCUCAGCGAGGACAGCUUUUUGAACGUUUGAUCUCAAAUCAGGUAGGACUACCCGCUGAACUUAAGCAUAUCACUAAGCGGAGGA